UACGUAGGUGGCAAGCGUUGUCCGGAUUUACUGGGCGUAAAGGGCGCGUAGGCGGCCAGCACAAGUCAGUUGUGAAAUCUCCGAGCUUAACUCGGAAAGGUCAACUGAUACUGUGCGGCUAGAGUGCGGAAGGGGCAACUGGAAUUCUUGGUGUAGCGGUGAAAUGCGUAGAUAUCAGGAAGAACACCGGUGGCGAAAGCGCUCUGCUAGGCCGCAACUGACACUGAGGGACGAAAGCUAGGGGAGCGAAUGGG
rnacentral:rRNA from 1 species